GAUGAACGCUGGCAGAAUGCUUAACACAUGCAAGUCUUUGGCGAAGCUGUGCUUGCACAGCCUAGCCAAGGCGGACGGGUGAGUAACGCGUAAGGUACUUGCCCUGCAGUCAGGGAUAACAGACGGAAACGACUGAUAAGACCUGGUAAAGUCAGGCGGACUCAUGUCCAGCCUGAUGAAAAGAGAUGCUGCAGGAGAGCCUUGCGUCCUAUUAGCUUGUUGGUGGGGUAACGGCCCACCAAGGCGAUGAUAGGUAGCCGGCCUGAGAGGGUGGACGGCCACAAGGGGACUGAGAUACGGCCCUUACUCCUACGGGAGGCAGCAGUGGGGAAUAUUGGACAAUGGGGGCAACCCUGAUCCAGCAAUUCUGUGUGCACGAUGAAGGUUUUCGGAUUGUAAAGUGCUUUCAGCAGGGAAGAAAAAAAUGACGGUACCUGCAGAAGAAGCGACGGCUAAAUACGUG
rnacentral:rRNA from 1 species